UCAAAUAAGUUUGAGGUAUUUAUAUUUAUUUUAAGAUUAAGUUGAAAACAUUUUUAUAUUUAGUAAUGGUGAUUGAAAUUAUACAAUGGGGAGAGUAGUACUGUAAAGGAAUUAAAUUUAAUUAUGUUAAAGCAGUUAUUUGAAAUGUACCUUUUGUAUCAUGGUUUAGCAAGAUUAUUAAGUUAAAUUAUUUUUCUAGAAAUCUAAUGAGCUAUUUUAAUUUAUUUUUAUAGGAUGAAUCAAGAUAAAUGUAGCAAAAUUUUCUAAAAAAAUUAAAAUAGAAAUUAUAUUUUAUACGUAUUGGAUGAUAGCUAGUUUUUUUAUAAAUAUAUAUAAGUAUAUAAUUAUGUAUUGAUUGAUUAAAUAUAAUGUAUUUAAUUGAUUUUAAUAUAAAUUAGAGAUAAUGAAGGCUAAUCUUAAUUAUUAUAAAAAGAGUAUUAUAUUGUAUUUUUAUACGAGAUGUAAGCUUGAAGUUAGUUAUUAUAUUUAGUUUGUUAUAAAAUAUUAUAGUGUUUAUACUAAAUUGAUUUAUUAAUGUAUUUUAUUAUUAUAAGAACGUAUAAGUGGAAUUAUUAUUGAUUAUAUUGUUUAUGCUUAAAUGAGUAUUUAGAUAUUAUAUUAUUUAAAUAAAAUAGAUAUUUAAAUGAAUUUUUAUUUUGAUGUAUUAAAAUAUAAAUAAGGAAUUCAGCAAAGUUAUUAAUUCGCCUGUUUAGCAAAAACAUGUCUUUUUGAUUUUAAAAAUAUAAAAAGUCUGACCUGCCCGGUGAAUGUAUUAAACGGCCGCAGUAUUUUGACUGUGCGAAGGUAGCAUAAUCAAUUGUCUUAUAAUUGAAGACUGGAAUGAAUGGUUGAAUGAAAUUAAAACUGUUUCAUUUGUAUUAAUUAGAAAUUGGUUUUUAAAUGAAGAGAUUUAAAUUUGAUUAAUAGACAAGAAGACCCUAUUGAGCUUUAAAUAAUUUUAAAAUUAAAAAUUUAUUAUUAGAGAUUUAAGUUUUAAAUGUUUUUUAGUUGGGGCGACUAAGGAACAAAAGAAGCUUCCUUUAUUUGUUAGAUCGAUGGAUUUUGAUCCAGUAUUAAACUGAUUAAUAAAGAUAGUUACCAUAGGGAUAACAGCAUAAUCUUCUUGGAGAGUUCUUAUCAAAAAGGGGGGUUGUGACCUCGAUGUUGGAUUAGAAUAUCCUAAAGGUGUAGAAGCUUUUAAGGGUUGGUCUGUUCGACCAUUAAAAUUUUACAUGAUCUGAGUUCAGACCGGCCAGAUCCAGGUCUGUUUCUAUCUUUAAUUGAUGAUAAUUAAUUUUAGUACGAAAGGACCAAAUUAAUAGAAUGGAUAAAUCUAUUGUUUUGAAUUUAUAUAAUUAGUAAUUUAAUUUUAUUAUAUUUUUGUAUUAUUUAGUUAAUG
rnacentral:rRNA from 1 species